rnacentral:misc_RNA from 1 species
GAUGAAGAACGUAGCGAAAUGCGAUACGUAAUGUGAAUUGCAGAAUUCAGUGAAUCAUCGAGUCUUUGAACGCACAUUGCGCCCCCUGGUAUUCCGGGGGGCAUGCCUGUCCGAGCGUCAUUGCUGCCCUCAAGCACGGCUUGUGUGUUGGGCCUCCGUCCUCCUCCCGGGGGACGGGCCCGGAAGGCAGCGGCGGCACCGCGUCCGGUCCUCGAGCGUAUGGGGCUUCGUCACCCGCUCUUGUAGGCCCGGCCGGCGCUUGCCGACACAUCAAUCUUUUUUCCAGGUUGACCUCGGAUCAGGUAGGGAUACCCGCUGAACUUAAGCAUAUCAAUAAGCGGAGGA